UACGUAGGGAGCAAGCGUUGUCCGGAAUCAUUGGGCGUAAAGCGCGCGUAGGUGGUUUGUCGCGUUGUUCGUGAAAACUCACAGCUCAACUGUGGGCGUGCGGGCGAUACGGGCAGACUGGAGUACUGCAGGGGAGACUGGAAUUCCUGGUGUAGCGGUGGAAUGCGCAGAUAUCAGGAGGAACACCGAUGGCGAAGGCAGGUCUCUGGGCCACUACUGACGCUGAGAAGCGAAAGCAUGGGGAGCGAACAGG
rnacentral:rRNA from 1 species